UACGUAGGGGGCAAGCGUUGUCCGGAUUUAUUGGGCGUAAAGAGCGUGUAGGCGGCCAGGUAGGUCCGCUGUGAAAACUCGAGGCUCAACCUCGAGAUGUCGGCGGAAACUAUCUGGCUAGAGUCCGGAAGAGGAGAGUGGAAUUCCUGGUGUAGCGGUGAAAUGCGCAGAUAUCAGGAAGAACACCCGUGGCGAAGGCGGCUCACUGGCCCGGUACUGACGCUGAGGUGCGAAAGCGUGGGGAGCAAACGGG
rnacentral:rRNA from 1 species